AACGAACGCUGGCGGCAUGCCUAACACAUGCAAGUCGAACGAAGCCUUCGGGAUUAGUGGCGCACGGGUGCGUAACGCGUGGGAAUCUGCCCUUGGGUUCGGAAUAACAGUUAGAAAUGACUGCUAAUACCGGAUGAUGUCUUCGGACCAAAGAUUUAUCGCCCAAGGAUGAGCCCGCGUAGGAUUAGGUAGUUGGUGGGGGAAUGGCCCACCAAGCCGACGAACCUUAGCUGGUCCGAGAGGAAGAUCAGCCACACUGGGACUGAGACAAGGCCCAGCCGCCUACGGGAGGCAGCAGUGGGGAAUAUUGGACAAUGGCCGAAAGCCUGAUCCAGCAAUGCCGCGUGAGUGAUGAAGGCCUUAGGGUUGUAAAGCUCUUUUGCCAGGGAUGAUAAUGACAGUACCUGGAGAAUAAGCUCCGGCUAACUCCGUGCCAGCCGCCGCCGUAACAC
rnacentral:rRNA from 1 species